UCUCGCCUCUCCUCUGUCUCUCCGCCUCCUCUCCCUCUUCCUCACUUAGAGAAAACUAAAAAUGCAAAAUUGGAACCCCAACUUGAUUUCAUCUGUUUUUGUUUCUAAACACAUCACCUAUCCCCAAAUCGAGAUGAAGGAACCGAUAAAAAAUCAGAAAAACCAAAUAUUGUUUGCAUGGCCAAAAUUUCUGAUACUCAAAAUUGGUUCUGAGUAGAGAAGAUAAUCUCUCACGAAGAAAAAAGAUACCCAAUUUUUUCAGCAAUAAAGAGUUUCAUAAUCAGUUUUGAAUUUAGGAUUUCCCUAAACUAAUACUCUCAAUACCUAUGCUGCAUCGAUCUAUAAUACUCUAAUGGAAGUAGAUAUUGGGAAUACAAAGUCUUAUUCUUGGAAUUUGAGAAUGACCAAUUUCAUAUCAGAUAGAUCAGCUACAAAAUAUUGUUGUUAACCAAUGUAAACUUACUGGUGCUAAUCCUCUUUCUCAAGAAAUGUCCGGUGAAAUGUGAGAAUAAAGUCCUGGAGUCAUUUGGAAAGAAGCUGGAGGCACUUCACGCUGCUGUAAACAAUGGCAAUAGUCACAUUGUUCACGUUACCCCUUAGUCCAGUGCUCUAUGUGAUGUGCUUUUAACCACACCCAUAUUUACUGGGGAUGGAGAAGGAGGGAGUGCUUUUGCAGCAUCUUCCGCAGCAGCACGGCAAGUAGUGCUUCUGGAGUGGAUCCCAACUUGGAUCUUGAGCUUUUCUUUCUCUUAGAUCUUCAAUGGAGGAAGAGAGAGCAAGACAGGAGGCUGCUGCAAAGGCUGCAAAAGAAAAAUUAGGUGGAUAGGUGUCAAAGCACUGGCUUUAUUUCUCAUGGAGCUAAUACAGGCUAUUUGAUGCUAGAGCAAGCACUUGUCAACGAACGACCAUCAGUCUGUUCCAUCUGGUUUCAUAAAAUUUCAUAUGGCUUUGGCACAUGAUCAUUGCUAAUGGUGUUAUCCUAAAUGGUUGUGGACCAUUUGUUCGGGUUGACCAAGCAUAUACCAUCAGACUGGGAUCAGUUUUUAUUUCUUUUUUUCAUGAAAUGUUCUUUAAGUACCUCGUUGUUGUAGUCGAAAUAAUUAAUGUAUCAAUCAAUUAUAAAUGAAUAAAAUUAUUUGUGAAUUAA